rnacentral:rRNA from 1 species
GAUGAACGCUGGCGGCGUGCUUAACACAUGCAAGUCGAACGAAGCACUUUAUUUGAUUUCCUUCGGGACUGUUUAUUUUGUGACUGAGUGGCGGACGGGUGAGUAACGCAUGGGUAACCUGCCUUGUACAGGGGGAUAACAGUUGGAAACGGCUGCUAAUACCGCAUAAGCGCACAGCAUCGCAUGAUGCAGUGUGAAAAACUCCGGUGGUAUAAGAUGGACCCGCGUUGGAUUAGCUAGUUGGUGAGGUAACGGCCCACCAAGGCGACGAUCCAUAGCCGACCUGAGAGGGUGACCGGCCACAUUGGGACUGAGACACGGCCCCAACUCCUACGGGAGGCAGCAGUGGGGAAUAUUGCACAAUGGGCGAAAGCCUGAUGCAGCGACGCCGCGUGAGCGAAGAAGUAUUUCGGUAUGUAAAGCUCUAUCAGCAGGGAAGAUAAUGACGGUACCUGACUAAGAAGCACCGGCUAAAUACGUG